GCCUGGGUGGCUCAAUUGGAUAAGCGUCUGACUUUGGCUCAGGUCAUGAUCUCAUGGUUCGUGGGUUCAAGCCCUGCGUCGGGCU
rnacentral:tRNA from 1 species